rnacentral:rRNA from 1 species
GACGAACGCUGGCGGCGUGCUUAACACAUGCAAGUCGAACGGAAAGGCCCUGCUUUUGUGGGGUGCUCGAGUGGCGAACGGGUGAGUAACACGUGAGUAACCUGCCCUUGACUUUGGGAUAACUUCAGGAAACUGGGGCUAAUACCGGAUAGGAGCUCCUGCUGCAUGGUGGGGGUUGGAAAGUUUCGGCGGUUGGGGAUGGACUCGCGGCUUAUCAGCUUGUUGGUGGGGUAGUGGCUUACCAAGGCUUUGACGGGUAGCCGGCCUGAGAGGGUGACCGGACACAUUGGGACUGCGAUACGGCCCAGACUCCUACGGGAGGCAGCAGUGGGGAAUAUUGCACAAUGGGCGGAAGCCUGAUGCAGCAACGCCGCGUGCGGGAUGACGGCCUUCGGGUUGUAAACCGCUUUCGCCUGUGACGAAGCGUGAGUGACGGUAAUGGGUAAAGAAGCACCGGCUAACUACGUG